rnacentral:rRNA from 1 species
GAUGAACGCUAGCGAUAGGCCUAACACAUGCAAGUCGAGGGGCAUCACAUGAAGUAGCAAUACGGAUGGUGGCGACCGGCGCACGGGUGAGUAACACGUAUGCAACCUGCCUUCAACAAGGGGAUAACCCGUUGAAAGACGGACUAAUACCCUAUAACACAGGGGUCCCGCAUGGGGAUAUUUGUUAAAGGACAACCGGUUGAAGAUGGGCAUGCGUUCCAUUAGCUAGUUGGCGGGGUAAGGGCCCACCAAGGCAACGAUGGAUAGGGGAACUGAGAGGUUUAUCCCCCACACUGGUACUGAGACACGGACCAGACUCCUACGGGAGGCAGCAGUGAGGAAUAUUGGUCAAUGGACGCAAGUCUGAACCAGCCACGUCGCGUGAAGGAAGACGGCCCUACGGGUUGUAAACUUCUUUUAUACGGGAAUAAAGUGCCCCACGCGUGGGGUUUUGCAUGUACCGUAUGAAUAAGGAUCGGCUAACUCCGUGCCAGCAGCCGCGGUAAUUACG